rnacentral:rRNA from 1 species
GACGAACGCUGGCGGCGUGCUUAACACAUGCAAGUCGAACGGUAAGGCUCCAGCUUGCUGGGGUACACGAGUGGCGAACGGGUGAGUAACACGUGGGUGACCUGCCCUGCACUUCGGGAUAAGCCUGGGAAACUGGGUCUAAUACCGGAUAGGACUGCACCGUGAGGGUGUGGUGGAAAGUUUUUUCGGUGUGGGAUGGGCCCGCGGCCUAUCAGCUUGUUGGUGGGGUAAUGGCCUACCAAGGCGGCGACGGGUAGCCGGCCUGAGAGGGUGGACGGCCACAUUGGGACUGAGACACGGCCCAGACUCCUACGGGAGGCAGCAGUGGGGAAUAUUGCACAAUGGGCGGAAGCCUGAUGCAGCGACGCCGCGUGGGGGAUGACGGCCUUCGGGUUGUAAACUCCUUUCACCAUCGACGAAGGGUUUCUGACGGUAGAUGGAGAAGAAGCACCGGCUAACUACGUGCCAGCAGCCGCGGUAAUACGUAGGGUGCGAGCGUUGUCCGGAAUUACUGGGCGUAAAGAGCUCGUAGGUGGUUUGUCGCGUCGUCUGUGAAAUUCCGGGGCUUAACUCCGGGCGUGCAGACGAUACGGGCAUAACUUGAGUACUGUAGGGGAGACUGGAAUUCCUGGUGUAGCGGUGAAAUGCGCAGAUAUCAGGAGGAACACCGGUGGCGAAGGCGGGUCUCUGGGCAGUAACUGACGCUGAGGAGCGAAAGCAUGGGGAGCGAACAGGAUUAGAUACCCUGGUAGUCCAUGCCGUAAACGGUGGGCGCUAGGUGUGGGUUUCCUUCCACGGGAUCCGUGCCGUAGCUAACGCAUUAAGCGCCCCGCCUGGGGAGUACGGCCGCAAGGCUAAAACUCAAAGGAAUUGACGGGGGCCCGCACAAGCGGCGGAGCAUGUGGAUUAAUUCGAUGCAACGCGAAGAACCUUACCUGGGCUUGACAUAUACAGGAUCGCGCCAGAGAUGGUGUUUCCCUUGUGGCUUGUAUACAGGUGGUGCAUGGUUGUCGUCAGCUCGUGUCGUGAGAUGUUGGGUUAAGUCCCGCAACGAGCGCAACCCUUGUCUUAUGUUGCCAGCACGUUGUGGUGGGGACUCGUAAGAAACUGCCGGGGUUAACUCGGAGGAAGGUGGGGAUGACGUCAAAUCAUCAUGCCCCUCAUGUCCAGGGCUUCACACAUGCUACAAUGGUCGGUACAGUGGGUUGCCAGUCCGUGAGGGCGAGCUAAUCCCGCAAAGCCGGUCUCAGUUCGGAUCGGGGUCUGCAACUCGACCCCGUGAAGUCGGAGUCGCUAGUAAUCGCAGAUCAGCAACGCUGCGGUGAAUACGUUCCCGGGCCU